UCUUUACUAGUAUAUCGGUUAGUACACGCGCCUGUCAUAACCGGUGCCUCGGAAGCAUGUAUUUCGCGCGAAAGCUGGGUUCGACUCCCAGGCAGAGAG